rnacentral:rRNA from 1 species
UGCGUAGGUGGCGGGGUAAGUCUGAUGUGAAAUCUCCAAGCUUAACUUGGAAAUGGCAUUGGAAACUACUUUGCUUGAGGGUUGGAGGGGGGACUGGAAUACUUGGUGUAGCAGUGAAAUGCGUAGAUAUCAAGUGGAACACCAGUGGCGAAGGCGAGUCCCCGGACAACUCCUGACACUGAGGCACGAAAGCUAGGGGAGCAAACA